rnacentral:rRNA from 1 species
UCGUAACAAGGUUUCCGUAGGUGAACCUGCGGAAGGAUCAUUACUGAUUUGCUUAAUUGCACCACAUGUGUUUUUCUUUGAAACAAACUUGCUUUGGCGGUGGGCCCAGCCUGCCGCCAGAGGUCUAAACUUACAACCAAUUUUUUAUCAACUUGUCACACCAGAUUAUUACUAAUAGUCAAAACUUUCAACAACGGAUCUCUUGGUUCUCGCAUCGAUGAAGAACGCAGCGAAAUGCGAUACGUAAUAUGAAUUGCAGAUAUUCGUGAAUCAUCGAAUCUUUGAACGCACAUUGCGCCCUCUGGUAUUCCGGAGGGCAUGCCUGUUUGAGCGUCGUUUCUCCCUCAAACCGCUGGGUUUGGUGUUGAGCAAUACGACUUGGGUUUGCUUGAAAGACGGUAGUGGUAAGGCGGGAUCGCUUUGACAAUGGCUUAGGUCUAACCAAAAACAUUGCUUGCGGCGGUAACGUCCACCACGUAUAUCUUCAAACUUUGACCUCAAAUCAGGUAGGACUACCCGCUGAACUUAAGCAUAUCAAU